AUUUUUGAUCGUGCCUGGUAUUCGUAUUUUACUCCUUUUCUUAGCAGCCACCGCUGAAGACGCAUAGACCUCAAUUGUAGUUCCGAUUUCCGAGAUAGAGGUGGAAAAAUUUUGGAAAGUCUAUUACCCAAAAAAAAAAAAAAAAAAAAAGGAAUUUUGAGCCAAAGAUUCAAGCUUUUUUCUUGCUUUGGAAAUUGGAAGGUGCUUUUUUCCUUCUUCGAUUUCAGGUGCAAGUUUUCAAGUCCCGAGUUUGAAAUUGUGGGCAUAAGUUAUGGCAGUAAAACCAACAGUUGCCUUUAGGGCUGCUCUUGUAGGAGGAAUAGCUGCAUUCGCGAAAAUAGGUGGGGCAAUGAAGGCUGCAGGCAGUGCAAAGGUAGGUGCAGCAGCAGUUGCUAUGACGGCUGCUGCAACUGCAGCUGUUUCAGGAUCUAAACAGGAAAAGAAGGAUGCCAAGUAGCAUUUAAAGUAAUUAUUUGAAGGAUAUACUUUGUAGUUUAUGUAGUAUAUGAUCCGAAGUUCCUAGUAUCUUGGGAACAAAUUGAAUCUGUUUUGAGUCAAGAUCUUGAUUGUAAGAUGAGAAACCGGUUAAUAUAAGAGAAAUGACAUUGUUGAUUUUUAUUGAA